rnacentral:lncRNA from 1 species
GUUUAUCCCAUUCUUGGUGAAUUGUUUAAGGUGAAAACAGAAAUUUAAAUCCGGCCGGAUUUUCUCCAAAUCCGGCCGGAUGCCGGAUAACGGAAAAUUCGUUAAAUCCGGAAUUCCGGCCGGAUUUGAAAUCCGGUGCACCCCUAGUAAGAAUGUAGCUAAACAGUUAUUAUUAUUCGAAGGGUAUUCAUGUAAACAUCUUCAAACUUUGUAUACUUACUAAUUUUGAGGUGGUCUUUUUAGUGAUUUGGUUCAUUUCUUAGUUUGGACACUUUGUAACACUCGUCCCCAGUCCUCUCAUUAACUUCGGAAUGGCUAAUUGCUGUAGAAAUCUACUAAUUAUGGGAAAUAAAGAAUUGGUUUUCCUGAUAAUGCUAAUCCCGUAUUAAUACACAUGACAGACGAAUCAUCCGUCAUAUUGACAUAUUGAAUGAUUAUUCUUUAAACCUAAUAAAACACUCCUGC